UACGGAGGGAGCUAGCGUUGUUCGGAAUUACUGGGCGUAAAGCGCGCGUAGGCGGCUUUGUAAGUUAGAGGUGAAAGCCUGGAGCUCAACUUCAGAAUUGCCUUUAAGACUGCAUCGCUUGAAUCCGGGAGAGGUGAGUGGAAUUCCGAGUGUAGAGGUGAAAUUCGUAGAUAUUCGCAAGAACACCAGUGGCGAAGGCGGCUCGCUGGCCCGAUACUGACGCUGAGGCACGAAAGCGUGGGGAGCAAACAGG
rnacentral:rRNA from 1 species